rnacentral:rRNA from 1 species
CAAUAGCGUAUAUUAACGUUGUUGCAGUUAAAAAGCUCGUAGUUGGAUUUCUGGAGGGAGCGUCGGCCCGUAUUUACGAGUGCGUGACGUCUCUGUCCAUCCUUGCGGGAAGGCACGGCAUUGAUUUGGUGUGUCGGAUCGCAUCAUUUACUGUGAAAAAAUUAGAGUGUUCAAAGCAGGCUUUCGCUUGAAUACAUUAGCAUGGAAUAAUAAGAUAGGACUUUGGUGCUAUUUUGUUGGUUGAGCCUAAAGUAAUGAUUAAUAGGGAUAGUUGGGGGCACCUGUAUUGCGUUGUCAGAGGUGAAAUUCUUGGAUUUACGCAAGACAAACAGCUGCGAAAGCGUCUGCCAAGGAUGUUUUCAUUAA